CUGUGCUACGAGGAUUUCCAUUUCCAUGUGGCUCGUGUGUAUGCUUGCCUGGGGUACCCCAAUGCCCAGCACAUCCUGGGACAGAGGUAUUUGCAAGGAGCUGGAGUGGAAAAAAAUGAGGACAUGGCCAUGCACUGGUUCAGGCAGGCUGCGGGGCAGGGCCAUCCCCACUCCUCCUUCAACCUGGCAGUGGGGACACUCAGAAACAUGACCAUGGCACUUGAAGAAGGGGAAGUGGAGAAACUCCUCAGUGUGGCAGCAGCCCAUGGGCUCUUAGAAGCUCAGCAACUUCUGGAAAACAUCAAGAGCAGAAACCUUCCCUGAAUGACUGCUGCAACACCGAUGUUUGUACAACCUUGUCUUCUUCUGCACUCAGCAACCCUGCCUUCUCCUUGCUGACUGCCUGGUCUUCAGGAAUUUGAAUAAUUCACUGGACAUUACAUUUGCUUUGUGAUGCAUCUUCAUGGUCAGGUCUAUAGCAGUCAUGUGCUGCUGCUCCAUCUCCAUUUGUUUCCUGGCUUGCCACUUGUGAAGACCACUGGAAAGGUGAGAUGGAGGAGAUCAGUAGCCUUCAAUGUUAUACUGAUGAUAAGCAUAUGAAUAUUUUUGAAAAAAACUCCCAUCACUGUUGUACCAACUCAUCUGCUAAUGCUAAGUUAGAUCCAAAUAUUCAUUUUGGCUUGGUGCAGUGUUGCUUGCAUGUUUGUGCCACCUUUCAUGCUCUGCUUAGGCAUUGCGAUAACUGAUCACGACUAAGGCUGUAAAUCAGCAUGACAUGCAUGCAUCAUCCAUUUGUACUGGAAAUGACUGUGAUUUAAUAGAAAAUACAAAUUAUGCUCUCACUUAGCAACUAGUGUUCCUUAUCAGCAUUACCAUUGUCAUGCCAGUUCUGGGGAAAAGAAAUUCAAUUUAAUGGAAACUACCUUCAUUUUCAGGGUGGUCUCAGUUUAAAACCACAGUGAGCAAUUGCAUUUCACAGGACGUGUGCUCAACUAAACAAAGACCUGCAGAGUUUUGCUAGCAAUAAAAUUGUUUCCCA